rnacentral:rRNA from 1 species
AGUGAACGCUGGCGGCAGGCCUAACACAUGCAAGUCGAGCGGCAGCGCGGGGGCAACCCUGGCGGCGAGCGGCGGACGGGUGAGGAAUUCGUCGGAAUCUGCCUUUUUGUGGGGGAUAACGUAGGGAAACUUACGCUAAUACCGCAUACGACCUACGGGUGAAAGUGGGGGACCGCAAGGCCUCACGCAGAAAGAUGAGCCCGACGACCGAUUAGCUAGUUGGUAGGGUAAAGGCCUACCAAGGCGACGAUCGGUAGCUGGUCUGAGAGGAUGAUCAGCCACACUGGGACUGAGACACGGCCCAGACUCCUACGGGAGGCAGCAGUGGGGAAUAUUGGACAAUGGGCGCAAGCCUGAUCCAGCCAUGCCGCGUGUGUGAAGAAGGCCCUCGGGUUGUAAACUGCUUUGUACGGUAACGAAAAGGUACGUCUCUUAAUAC